rnacentral:rRNA from 1 species
AGUGAACGCUGGCGGUAGGCCUAACACAUGCAAGUCGAACGGCAGCACAGUAAGCUCUUUCUCUUACGGUUGGCGAGUGGCGGACGGGUGAGGAAUACAUCGGCAUCUACUUUUUCGUGGGUGAUAACGUAGGGCCACUUACGCUAAUACCUCAUACUUCCUACGGCUGAAAGCAAGGGAUCUUCGGACCUUUCCCGUUUCUAUUAGCCGAUUUCGGAUUAGCUAGUUGGCUGGGUAAAGGCACACCAAGGCGACGAUCCGUAGCUGGUCUGAGAGGAUGAUCGGCCACACUGGAACUGAGACACGGUCCAGACUCCUACGGGAGGCAGCAGUAGGGAAUAUUGGGCAAUGGGCGAAAGCCUGAUCGAGCAAUACCGCGUGGGUGAAGAAGGCCUCCGGGUUGUAAAGCCCUGUUGUUGGGAAAGAAAAGAAGCAGGUUAAUACCCCGAUGUUCUGACGGUACCCAAAGAAUAAGCACCGGCUAACUUCGUG